rnacentral:rRNA from 1 species
AUUGAACGCUAGCGGGAUGCUUUACACAUGCAAGUCGAACGAGUGGCGGACGGGUGAGUAAUAUAUCGGAACGUGCCCAGUAGCGGGGGAUAACUACUCGAAAGAGUGGCUAAUACCGCCUACUAUUGGAGCGGCCGAUAUGGGAUUAGCUAGUUGGUGGGGUAACGGCGCACCAAGGCAACGAUCCGUAGCUGGUUUGAGAGGACGACCGACCACACUGGGACUGAGACACGGCCCAGAGUCCGACGGGAGGGAUCAGUGGGGAAUGUUGCACAAUGGGGGAAAGCCUGAUGCAGCCAUCCCGCGUGGAGGAGAAGGCCUUCGGGUUCUAAAGUACUUUUGGCAGAGAAGCGGUAUCUGCAGAAUAAGCACCGGCUAACUACGUGCCAGCAGCCGCGGUAAUAC